UUUAUUUAGGUUUUUGGAUAUUCUUGGGUUUUGUGGGGGAGAACUGGGGAGAGGGAACAUCAGAUGGGUUUGAAUUUUUUCUGGAGGUUGAAAUGACCUCUGAUAUUAGUUUUUUUUGUAUUGAGGACGUCCAAGUGUCUUGUGGAGUUUGGCCCAGAUGACACUACAAAUUCAAUAUUUUUUUAUCAUCAAAUAUGUUGAGUAAAUGAAAAAUUGGGAGUAAAUUCUGGAGAAAAAUCAUGACGAUUGAACGUUAUUUUCAUCAAAUUUUGUAGACAAUUAUUAGUUUUUAAUAAUUGUUGAGACAUAAAUUACUAAAAUUGUUGAAAUUAUUAGAAGUAUAGUUUUUGGACCUUUUAUUCAGUUUCUGAGGAAAUCCAGAGCACAAAUUAUUUGUUAUGAACCUGAGAGGACUAAUUUUUAUCAUGGAAAAUUGAUUGUUUAUAAAUUAUUAGAAAAAUACCUCUCAUUCUCGAAUGGUUUAGUUUUUCCGUGUUUAUUAAAUUUAUUUGUUAUAUAUCCACUUAGAUUGUUCCAUUUUUAUUUUCCAAACCCACAUGGGUGACAUUAAUCUGGAAAUGAUGGAAUAAAUCUUUCUUCAAUAGCCAAUUUUUUAUUAAAAAAUGUAGCAGGUCAAUGUCAAGAGUCAAAUUCACACCUGGACAGUAGAAACAAUAGAAUUAUUCAGAUUUAAAGGUCAUACAGAGUUCAAACGUCUGAUGUUCGACUGUAAAAGUAGAAAAGAAUUUUACUGCAGAACAAAUAACUGAAGCACUUGGGUACGUCGAGAGGAUAUCCGUCUGCCCCUGACUAAAUAUAUUAAUAUUUAAUAUAUUUAAAUAUUAAUAAUUAUGAAGGGAGCCAAAGAGCAUUAUGUGCUCCAGAUGUUCAUAGUUCUCCUCAUAAAUAACAACAAAUGCACGUUUAAAUCCAAAAUACACAUGUGAAGAAAUAUUAUCUCUUAAUUUUUCUGCAACAACGCAUAACAAUGUUAUAGACAUGUAAAUAUUUUUAAAAAUAUGUCGUGCACUUUGAAAAAAUACAGGUCAUGUGGACAGGGUAUUUUUCGAUAAUAAGGGGAUGUGGGAAACUCUUCUAAGCAGAAUUAGAAAAUUAUGAGAUCAUGUUUUGUCACAUGAGCGUUUACCUCGUCCUCUUAGUUUAAAUUCUGUGAAAAAAUUGAAAUUCGUAUUAUUCUUAUGUCCAGGACUAAAGUCCUGAUGUUUUAACAAGUACUAGAACGAUAAUGUGCGCGUUUAUAAUUAAUUAGGGCUCCAGCACUGGACGUUAAUGGUGUUAUGGAUUAAAAAGAUCACAGAAAAAUUAUUUUUAUUAUUGUUUUAGAGUAUCACAGAAAAACGGAGUGUGAUAUUAUCCUUGUUUGUUAUAAAAUAUUGACAUAUUGUAUGAAGUAAUGGGCAAAAUAGUCACAUGAUCAUCAUAUAAUGAUGGUGAUCAUUACAUGAUGGAUCAUGUCCUCCUCUUUUCGCAGUGAGGGAUGAUGUUUGUAUUAUAUGUAUUAGGUUUCACUGUUUCAUUAAAUGUAGAAGUACCUUUUAAUUGUUUAUGGGAAUUCAAUUCUAAUUAAUAUGAGGACAUUCAUUUUUUUCCUAUGUUAAAGAAGAAUUUUUUCCAGAAUCAUUUACUUUCUUGGGGACUUCGUUUUAGUUACGAAGGAAUGAAAAUUUUCAUAUAAAUCUAUCUCUACCUAACUUAGAAUUAAAUUCCAAUAAGCAAUUAAAAGCUACUCCUAAUUUAAUCGAAAAAGUGGAAAGCGAUUUAUACAAGAAGAACAACAGCUCGCAUUUCAAAAAGAUGAGGCCUUUAUUCAAGUCAGCAUUAAAUUCUAAUAAUGGAUUUGAAAGGAUGAGAAGGUGAGGUGAUAAACAAUCCUUUAAAGUAGCCUCUUAAUCAUUCAAAGAGAAAAGUUUGACUGCUCUUACAUUUAGUAUCUCCAGGUAAUUCAACUUGAUCUACUGAUGUGAAUUUAAAGUCUUCAUUUGAUACAAAACCACCGAGUGAGUUAAGUUGAGUCAAAAUUAGUGGUGCCCCACCAGGUGCAACUCAAGUGCAUUCUUCUUCCCCACAUUACAAAUUACGAUCACAUAACAAUAAUAAUAUCAUAACUCAGUUUUUCUAUGAUAUUUUUAUUCCAUAACAAGAUUGAUUUUCACCUCUGCAGCGUUAAUUGUUCGUGAAAGCGAGUGUUAUUGUGGGUCUUUUAAUGUUUAAGGGAAAAUUAUCGAAAAAAAAUGCCCAGCCUCUCUCUUAACAAUAAUAAAUUGCCAGAUUUUCUAUUAGAUCUGUCUUUGUUUGUCGUUUCUUCAUGAUCAAGGAUUUUGACAAUUUUGUCUGAAUCCAUCAGCUUUCGACUUAGUUUCAUAAUUAAUGAUAUUCUUAUGACCAUAAAAUAUUUAGGUCAAAAGUAAUUUUUCCAAUGAUUGGAUUGUACUCUUGAUUAACUAUUCAAAGAGAAUUCGAUUAUAAACUGUUCCGAAGAUUUGAUUAGCUUGACAUUUUUAGCCGCUUCACAUACUUUUAAUUAUUGACUUUUGUCAAUAAUUAAAAAUUAAAUUAAAAGCCAUUUUUGUCUGGUUCUGUGUACUAAUUACUUUCGUUUCAUUAACUCAAUCGGAGGGGAUAAAAUCCAGGAUAUCUGCUGUCAUUUUUUUUUUUUGCAUUAGAAAUUUAGCCAAUAAACAACCAAUUUGUUCAAAACUUAUUUUCCAUAGAAGAUGUAAUUUCUACGAAGGAAUUACAGCCGUAUCGAUUGGUUUUAGAGGGUAAUUGGAAACGAGUCUUCUCGUGGAAAACCCUUUAACUAUGGAAAUUACCUCUUGCUAUUUUCUCCGGAGUCAUUUUAUAAACAUUAACAUAAUUGGGUUUGACAGGCUGGUCCAAAUUUUCUUCUCAUUUUAUUUAUCGAUUAACUCCAUAAUAAUAAUGGGGCCCUUAAUUUUCAGUGGAUUUUCUGUGACAUACAUUAAAUUGCUGAAGAAUCAUUUUCCAAGUAAAAAAUUGAGUUUUCCUCGUAGGUUAUUUGGAAAUAGCUGAAAUUCUGGAAUAUUUUGUCUUUUUGUCGAUUAUUGUUGACCAAAUUUUUUCCGUGCACUUUCAGAGCUUUCGCCGAGGGGGUAAUCACUGCAAAAAAACGUGUACAAUGAAUUUCAAGAAUUUCGGGGGAUUUCAAGGAACUUUAAGGGAUUUUAUGGAUUUCAAGACUUUAAAUUUUCUAAGAUUUCGUGAGACUUGAAGGGAUUUCACGGGACGUCACGGGAUUUCAUGGAAUUUCUUGGAUUUUAUGUUCCCAAUUCUUUUAUGAGAUUUCAUGGAAUUUCAUAGAUUUCAUGAUUUCUUGUUUGAGAAACAUUUGUGGAAUUUCAAGGGACUUCAUGGGAUUUCAUGGAAUUUUUUGUAUUUCAUAUUGCCAACUAUUUUAUGAGACUUCAUAGAAUUUCACAGAACUUUCGGGAUUCCAUAGAAUUCACGAUUUCUUGUUUAAAAAAAUUUUCUUGUAUUUCAUGGGACUUCAAGGGAUUUUUUGGGACUUUAUGGGAUUUCAUGGAAUUUCUUGGAUUUCAUAUUGCAAACUAUUUUAUGAGAUUUCAUGGGACUUCAUAAAUUUCACGAUAUUUUAGCAGAUUUCGUGGCAUAGACUUCAAGGGAUUUCUGGGGACUUCACUGAAUUUUAUUGAAUAUCUUGUAUUUCAUAUUGCAAACUAUUUCGUGAGACUUCAAGGAAUUUCAUGGGACUUCACGGGAUUUCAAGGUUUAAUACGUCAAAAGAUUUCAUGGGAUGUCAUCAUAUUUCAAUAUAACCUGUACACCAGCUUUCAAAAGUGAUUACACCCUCGACAUUCUCUCAACAAACAAAUCUCAAUUCAUGGACGAGUUUUUUGUGAAACAAUUGAAGGAAAAGUCACACGAUCUUUUUCUAAUCUCGAUAUUAUUGACAUUAAUAUGAAAAUAGAAUAAAAAUUAUUUAUUAAAGUUUUACCCUAUUCACUUUCUUGAGGAAAACCCAAGUGUUUUAAGGGAAAGUUAUGCUGGUCACACCCCUUGACAGAAACAAAUUUUGGAUAAAAAUUAUAUCUCUAGUGGGCGAAACGUGGGAGGAAAUGACAAUCAACCACUUUUUAAGUUAAGUUUUAUUGCAAAAAUUAGACUUGAGGGGGUGGGGUAAUUUUUGUGAUAAAACUAACCUUUGUCUCUCGUUUCGCCCUCUGGAGGGCUAAUUUUUACGUAAAAUUUCUCUCCGUGUGAACGGAAAGUUCAUACUUUGCCUCCUGAUGGGCGAGAGAAAAGUGAGCACUAGCCACCUCCGGGGAAAAAAUCAAAACUUUUCAAGAACGAGACCAACUUUCCAUUCAUUUUUUACUUUUUUUUUCGUAGGGAUGAAAGUCAGUUUUUUUCGCCCUAGAGUGGAAAGUUGUUCCCAAGGGCGGAAAGUCUUGAAGUAAAAUCUCGAAAGACUAGGAAAUAAUAAUAAAAAAUGUGCGAACAUGAAAAUUACGACUAGUAUGCAUUUUCGUCUAGUUUAUUUCACGUCAGGUCCCCUAGGGAUUUUUCUACACGUGACGUUGUCUCCCGAGUCGAAGAUGAGGGCCGACAUUCCACGCAAAUAAAAAUCCCUAGGGCGCUAGUCGUGAAUGCUAUUAUUCCCUAGUGAUUUUUACUUUUUCGUGUUUGAGGAAGGGUCAGUGCCAAUCUCCAAACGAGGAAAAGUGAGUAACUGAACGGAAAUAAAUAAUUCAGUAGCGAACUGGUAAACCGAGAUAAGUCCACUUAUCUCUCACUUGAGAUUUCCAACAAUAUUCUCGGAAUUAUGGGCCAUGGGAGUUUACAUUUCGAAUUGUUUAUCAAAACUUAAUUUUCAGUUGCAUUGAAUAAUUCUUUGUACGAUUUAUUUUAUUUUAUUUACCAUAUGUAUACCCUUUUGGGUUUUUACAUUUUAUUUCCCCUUUUCUUUAACCCCUGUUCGUACAGUCUCAUUUUAAUCUCUACAUCUUACUCUUACAUACUACUCUUAAAGCUAAUUUUACAUUGGUUUGUGUUUCAAGCUAGCCUCAAACAAUAUAUGUAUAUGUAUACAUAAAAAUGUUUUUUCAAUCUCAAGUGGAAACACGAAAAUAAAAAAAAUAUAAAUCGUACAAAGUUAAAACUAAAUAAAAUCAAAGUUCAUUAAAAUCUCCUCUUUUGUCUAUAAUAUUUUUCCAUAUUUAUAUAUUUAUAUAUAUAUUAUAUGCAUAUAUAUAUUCGAAAUAUAUAAAUAUAUAUAUAUUUUUUUUUUAUGGGUGGAAAUUCUGAGAUGUUUGGGGUGUGGUGUGGAAGCUCUGUUUUCUUGGGUCUAAACUGAGUCCCAUGAGUGGACUAUUGUUAAUGUGGUUCAUCAGGCCCAGGGUGUUGUAUUUCUUUUGUCAUUUAAGCGGCCAUACAACCUACCAUCACAGUAAAAAUUUUAAUCUGAUUAUUUUGUGGGGGGAAAUGAUUAUUUUGGGAAACACAAAUUGUUAGACUCUGUGUGAGGUCAUCAUUGAGGGCAUAAAAAUUAGUUUUUCGAUAAAUAAACAUUUCACCAUAAAAAAUAUUGGGAUUGAAAAUUUUACACUGAUGAUAAGUCAUAUGGUCUCUGAAGGAAGUUAAGGUUCCUCCGAGGAAAUGAGCCAGAGCGAUGAGCCUUCCCCAUUUGUAGAAAUGAGAAAAUUUAAUACAAAUUUUAAUGUUAUUGGAAAUGGGUUGUAAGAAAUAAUAAUUCGUUAAGUAAUUUAAAUUAAUUUGUUUUCUUUAUUUAUUAUGGAAAUCAAGUAAUUGUGUUCGGAAGACACAUUCGCUCUGUACCAAUUCCUUAGAGGAACUAACUAGAUCUACAAAGGGACACAACACCCUGGACCUUCUAGUCACAUGCUCUCAAAGAGUCCUAUUCACUCCACUUUGUCUACAUACUUAACCCUAGAACGUUGCACUGGGGUACAAAUAUACCCCACGCCAUAUUUAGGGUUGUGUGGAAACGAGAAUCCUGCAUUUAUCGACCGGAGACCCUAACCAUAAUUCAAUUUGAUUUUAAUAAAUUGCACAAGUCGACUUACACAGCGGUAUUCGUUAUUAAAAAACGAAGAAAAUGAUGUAUAACAACAUUUUCCAAUUUUAAUUUUUACCUGCGAAAAUUGCGGUCUAAUUCAUGGGGUACGUCUGUACCCCAGUGCAACGUUCUAGGGUAAGGAAAGUAAGUGCAACCUUCUGGGGUUAAAAUCAAACCUAAACAUCAUACCUCACACUUCUCACAAUUCCAACCCAUAAAAAUGUUUUUCUUUCUUUCAAUUUAAAUAUAAACACUCAGAAGAGAAUAAGAUUGACUUUUGUUCUCUAUUUAUUCCAUGAAAAAUCCAACAAAUUUAAUUUAUUAGAUUUUAAUGGAAGCCAGGUUAAUUAAACAUAGACGUUUAAUUAAGAGCAAUUUUAGUUUACGAUUAUGUGUUCACACUUCGAGAGCAGUCGUCGACCUGACAAACGAUCUUGAAAUCUCAAACAUCAAAGCAUCGUCAUCAUGGUUCCUUUCUUUCAAUGAACAAAGAUUUCUUUAUAUUAUUUAAUAAACAUAAACUGGAGUUUUCGUCGUAAGACCACACAGAGGGCAUCUCCAAGAAACAAUGACCCCAUAGUAUAAUGAAUAUAAACUUAUAUAGGUCUGUAAUGUGAUCGUAUUGUUUUUGCUCUUUUCAAUACAAUUUUUAUAAUGGCACUGGACCUGAUGAUGCCUUCAGCAUAACCUGAUUAAUGAGUCAAUGGCAAUUAGAGAAAUAAGUGCCUAACACAAGAUGUACCACCAAAGAAAAUUAAUUGCUAUUCGUUAAUAAUUCGCUAAAUUCACGAAUGCGGCUGACUAUUCUUCGGGGCUGAUGACGAACCCGAACUGUCCCGAAGUUUCCAGAGAUUCUCAUUGAGUCCAAUGAGAUUUGAUUUCAUGACAUGAUUUCAUGACAUGAUAUUUGAGUCAUUCGACUGAUUUAAAUAUCCAGGACACGAUACAAUAAUGGUUUGCUCGAGAGAUCGUUCGAGAGUGUUCCUUGUCCUUUGUUCCUCCGGGAUGAGAGGUCUGUCCCAGAGAUAAGGCCCUUUUGUCAAUAGGAUUGUCCAGAUGUUGGACCGUUUAGGUCAUAAACAACCCGAGUGUUUCCCGUUAUUCCCUGGGAGAUUUACAACGGGUCGAUUGUUCGAGAUGACGUCAAAAAUAUUUGCAACAAUUUUUUCUAAUAAUCGAUUGGUUCUACAAAAGCUCAAUCAAAAACAAUAAAAAAUUAACUAUUUUUUUUGAGUUUAGAAUGGCAUAAAAAACGAUAAUCGGUGACAGCUCGAAAAAUGACUCCUUUGAUUGCUUCGUAAUUCUUUUUUAUUAUUAAUUUAUAGUGAUAAAUAUUUAUAAUAUGGAUAAUUUCCAGUGUCAUUAUUUGUAAGAUAUUUUCUAUUACAUGAGACGUCCCAAUUAAAAGAGAUAACACUGCCAAUAAUCAUCUUCUUCAUCUGAAUAAAAUCGUUAUCUUUUUUCGAUUUUUUUUAGUUUUAUAAAAAUAUAUUUUUAUGAUUUUUGAGAUCUCCGAGAAGCUAAAAAGUUUUUUCUCAUUCCAGAUGGACAUUGGAGCAAAUUG